AGAGUUUGAUCCUGGCUCAGGAUGAACGCUAGCGGCAGGCUUAACACAUGCAAGUCGAGGGGCAUCGGGAGGGAAGCUUGCUUUCCUUGCCGGCGACCGGCGCACGGGUGAGUAACACGUAUGCAACCUGCCCUCUUCAGGGGGACAACCUUCCGAAAGGGAGGCUAAUCCCGCGUAUAUCGGUUUCGGGCAUCCGAGAUCGAGGAAAGAUUCAUCGGAAGAGGAUGGGCAUGCGGCGCAUUAGCUUGACGGCGGGGUAACGGCCCACCGUGGCGACGAUGCGUAGGGGUUCUGAGAGGAAGGUCCCCCACACUGGUACUGAGACACGGACCAGACUCCUACGGGAGGCAGCAGUGAGGAAUAUUGGUCAAUGGGAGAGAUCCUGAACCAGCCAAACCGCGUGAGGGAAGACGGCCCUAUGGGUUGUAAACCUCUUUUGUCGGAGAACAAAACCCGGGACGUGUCCCGGACUGCGUGUAUCCGAAGAAAAAGCAUCGGCUAACUCCGUG
rnacentral:rRNA from 1 species